rnacentral:rRNA from 1 species
CAUUGCCUACGGGACGCAGCAGUGGGGAAUAUUGGGCGAUGGGCGCAAGCCUGACCCAGCAACGCCGCGUGAAGGAAGAAGGCCCUCGGGUUGUAAACUUCUUUUAUCAAGGACGAAACAAAUGACGGUACUUGAUGAAUAAGCCACGGCUAACUACGUGCCAGCAGCCGCGGUAAUACGUAGGUGGCAAGCGUUAUCCGGAUUUACUGGGUGUAAAGGGCGUGUAAGCGGGACUGCAAGUCAGAUGUGAAAACCAUGGGCUCAACCCAUGGCCUGCAUUUGAAACUGUUGGUCUUGAGUAUCGG